CACGGAGUUAGCCGGUGCUUAUUCAUACUGUACCUUCAGCUACUUACACGUAAGUAGGUUUAUCCCAGUAUAAAAGAAGUUUACAAUCCAUAGAACCGUCGUCCUUCACGCGGGAUGGCUGGAUCAGGCUCGCACCCAUUGUCCAAUAUUCCUCACUGCUGCCUCCCGUAGGAGUCUGGUCCGUGUCUCAGUACCAGUGUGGGGGAUCACCCUCUCAGGCCCCCUAAAGAUCACUGACUUGGUGAGCCGUUACCUCACCAACUAUCUAAUCUUGCGCGUGCCCAUCUCUAUCCACCGGAGUUUUCAAUAUCUAAUGAUGCCAUCAGAUAUAUUAUGGGGUAUUAAUCUUCCUUUCGAAAGGCUAUCCCCCUGAUAAAGGCAGGUUGCACACGUGUUCCGCACCCGUACGCCGCUCUCUCUAUUCCGAAGAAUAAAUACCGCUCGGCUUGCAUGUGUUAGGCCUCCGCUAGCGUUCAUCCUGAGCCAGGAUCAAACU
rnacentral:rRNA from 1 species